rnacentral:rRNA from 4 species
CCUACGGGAGGCAGCAGUGGGGAAUAUUGGACAAUGGGCGAAAGCCUGAUCCAGCCAUGCCGCGUGUGUGAAGAAGGUCUUCGGAUUGUAAAGCACUUUAAGUUGGGAGGAAGGGCAGUUACCUAAUACGUGAUUGUUUUGACGUUACCGACAGAAUAAGCACCGGCUAACUCUGUGCCAGCAGCCGCGGUAAU